UACAGGGGGUGCAAACGUUGCUCGGAAUCAUUGGGCGUAAAGCGCACGUAGGCGGUCUGUUAUGUCGGAUGUGAAAGCCCUUGGCUCAACUGAGGAAGUGCAUCCGAAACUGGCAGGCUAGAGUACUAAAGAGGGUCGCGGAAUUCCCGGUGUAGAGGUGAAAUUCGUAGAUAUUGGGGAAGAACACCAGUGGCGAAGGCGGCUAACUGGUCCAGCAC
rnacentral:rRNA from 1 species